GGAGAGGUCGCAUAGUGGCCUAGUGCACACGCUUGGAAAGCGUGCAUACCGCAAGGUAUCGAGAGUUCGAAUCUCUCCCUCUCCGCCA
rnacentral:tRNA from 2 species